CCCUGGUGGGUGCUCCAGCUGGACGAGGCGGACGAGGCUGCGGCCGCGGCGGCGGCGGCGGCAACGGCGGCGGAGGACGAGGACGGCUUGCUGGUCAUGAUGGGCUGGUGGCCGUAGGCCGCCGCGGCGCUGCGCUGAACCUGAAAUGGGAAGAAGAAAAAGAGAGAGAGAGAGACGCGUUAUUGUCAACGUGAUCGCUAAUGUCCCUCGCCCAAGCGGGUAGAUUAUGUGACCGCUCUGGCAAAAGCACUUUGACAACUGUAAGAAGAGUAGGCAUGCGCACACAGGGAACUCUGGGGGCUGAAGUCCUUCACAAGGUACUGACUGACUGACUUAAGCACGUUAAGAAAGGAGGAAGUCUUGGAAAUACUGAUUCCAAGGGGAAGAGGUUGAGCCCUGCACUACAUUAUAUCUUCCUAAACAAUCUGAAUCACGAGUUGUUGAAAUGAAAAGAAAAUAAACUGGUUUGUCAACUUGA